UUGGAGGGCAAGUCUGGUGCCAGCAGCCGCGGUAAUUCCAGCUCCAAUAGCGUAUAUUAAAGUUGUUGCAGUUAAAAAGCUCGUAGUUGAAUUUCGGGGUUCAUACGUUGGUCGGGCUUUUUUGGUCUGUACUUAUGUAAUGGAUUCCUACCUUCUGAAUAACCGGCAUGUCAUUAAUUUGGUGCGCCGGGGAAGCAGGACUGUUACCUUGAAAAAAUUAGAGUGCUUAAAGUAGGCUAUCGCCUGAAUACAUUAGCAUGGAAUAAUGAAAUAGGACGGCAUGGUUCUAUUUUGUUGGUUUCUAGGAUCACCGUAAUGAUUAAUAGGGAUAGUUGGGGGCAUUAGUAUUCAAUUGUCAGAGGUGAAAUUCUUGGAUUUAUUGAAGACUAACUACUGCGAAAGCAUUUGCCAAGGAUGUUUCCAUUAAUCAAGAACGAAAGUUAGGGGAUCGAAGACGAUCAGAUACCGUCGUAGUCUUAACCAUAAACUAUGCCGACUAGGGAUCGGAUGAUGUUAAUUUUUUAAUGACUCAUUCGGCGCCUUACGGGAAAC
rnacentral:rRNA from 1 species